rnacentral:rRNA from 1 species
CCUACGGGUGGCAGCAGUGGGGGAUAUUGCACAAUGGGGGAAACCCUGAUGCAGCGACGCCGCGUGUGGGAAGACGGUCCUCUGGAUUGUAAACCACUGUCCCCAGGGACGAAGAUGACGGUACCUGGGGAGGAAGCUCCGGCUAACUACGUGCCAGCAGCCGCGGUAAUACGUAGGGAGCGAGCGUUGUCCGGAAUUACUGGGUGUAAAGGGAGCGUAGGCGGGGAUGCAAGUUGGGUGUCAAAACUACCGGCUCAACUGGUAGUCGCACUCAAAACUGCAGCUCUGGCGUGAAGUAGAGGCAGGGGGAAUUCCGAGUGUAGGGGUGAAAUGCGGAGAUAUUAGGAGGAACACCAGUGGCGAAGGCGGCCUGCUGGGCUUUUACUGCCGCUGAGGCUCGAAAGUGUGGGGAGCAAACAGGAUUAGAUACCCGGGUAGUC